GCGGGAAAGACGAAUGAGCCGGAGAUCCGGAGGGAUUGUCCCGAAAUUCCCGGGAUCCCAAAAAUUCCCGGGAUCCCAAAAAUUCCCGGAAUCCCCAAAAUUCCCAGGAUCCCAAAAUUCCGGGAUGGGCUCCUGGGAUGGGAAAUUUCCCGGAAAUUUCAGCCCCAAAAUCCCAGGAAUUUCACCACAGAAUCCCGGGAAUUUUAACCACAGAAUCCCGGGAAUUUUAACCACAGAAUCCCGGGAAUUUUUAUCACAAAAUCCCAGGAAUUUGGGUGUGGAAUCCCGGGAAUUAAACCACAAAAUCCCGGGAAUUUUGAUGGUGGAAUCCCGGCAAUUUCACCCACAAAAUCCUGGAAAUUUCACCCACAAAAUCCCAGGAAUUAAACCAGAAAAUCCCAGGAAUUUGGGCGUGGAAUCCUGGGAAUUAAACCACAGAAUCCCGGGAAUUUCCACCACAAAAUCCCAGGAUUUUGAGUGUGAAAUCCCGAGAAUUAAACCUCAGAGUCCCAGGAAUUUUGAUGGCAGAAUCCCGGGAAUUUCAACCACAGAAUCCCAGGAAUUUCAAUUACAGAAUCCUGGGAAUUCCCCCCAGAAAUCCCAGGAAUUUCAACCACAGAAUCCCAGGAAUCUUGACCACAAAAUCCCGGAAAUUUCACCCCCCAAAUCCCCUAAAAUCCCCCAAACUCCCAUAAAUUCCCCCCAAAAUCCCAGGAUUUUCCCCCUCAAAAUCCCAUAAAAUCCCCCCAAAAUCCCAUAAAAUCCCCCCAAAAUCCCAGGACUUUCCCUCCCACAAUCCCAGCAAUUUCCCUCCAAAACCCCAGGAUUUUUCCCCCGAAAAUCCCAGGAAUUUCAACCACAGAAUCCCAGGAAUUCGCCCCAAAAUCCCGGGAGUCCCCCCCAAAAUCCCGGGAAUUCCCCCCCAAAUCCCAUAAAAUCCCCCAAACUCCCAUAAAUUCCCCCUUAAAAUCCCAGCAAUUUCCCCCCAAAAUCCCAGGAAUUUCA
rnacentral:lncRNA from 1 species